rnacentral:rRNA from 1 species
GACAGAGGGGGCAAGCGUUGCUCGGAAUCACUGGGCGUAAAGGGCGCGUAGGCGGGAUGACAAGUCGGUCGUGAAAUCCCUGGGCUCAACUCAGGGGGGUCGGCCGAUACUGUCAUUCUUGAGGGAUGCAGAGGAGACUGGAAUUCCCGGUGUAGCGGUGAAAUGUGUAGAGAUCGGGAGGAACACCGGUGGCGAAGGCGGGUCUCUGGGCAUUCCCUGACGCUGAGGCGCGAAAGCGUGGGGAGCAAACGGG